GACGAACGCUGGCGGCGUGCCUAACACAUGCAAGUCGAACGGAAAGGCCCUGCUUUUGUGGGGUGCUCGAGUGGCGAACGGGUGAGUAACACGUGAGUAACCUGCCCUUGACUUUGGGAUAACUUCAGGAAACUGGGGCUAAUACCGGAUAGGAGCUCCUGCUGCAUGGUGGGGGUUGGAAAGUUUCGGCGGUUGGGGAUGGACUCGCGGCUUAUCAGCUUGUUGGUGGGGUAGUGGCUUACCAAGGCUUUGACGGGUAGCCGGCCUGAGAGGGUGACCGGCCACAUUGGGACUGAGAUACGGCCCAGACUCCUACGGGAGGCAGCAGUGGGGAAUAUUGCACAAUGGGCGGAAGCCUGAUGCAGCAACGCCGCGUGCGGGAUGACGGCCUUCGGGUUGUAAACCGCUUUCGCCUGUGACGAAGCGCGAGUGACGGUAAUGGGUAAAGAAGCACCGGCUAACUACGUG
rnacentral:rRNA from 1 species